CACCUUCCCCCACCGCCCAGGCCCCGCUGGCCUCCCCGGCUCAUCUCGCACCCGGCGCAGACCCCAUGCCCUCCCGUCUCGGCAGCGCCCCCCGCUUCGCCUCCCGGUCCGGCCCCAGCUCGACGGGCGGAACCGGGUGCGCACAGCAGCCCCGCGCCCUGGCCCAGGGCCAGCGGGUUAACGCUUAACUACGCUCCAGGAGCUGUAGGCUCCAGCCGCGCCUCGAGUCCCCAACCUUUGGCCCCGGAAGCCAAAAAGAGGAGCGGACGGUGAAGGAGUCAGGGAUAAUGUGAGUUGAUGCUGGCUGAGAUCUGCUCCGAUGAGGGUUUGAAAGAGAGAGCUCCGGGUGUCAAAGUCAGUGGAUGGCAAAACAUGCCUGGAGGGAGCAACCAGGCAUCCAACCACAGGCCCUGGGCUGGAGGGCGGGGGGGGGGGGGGGUGGAAGCAGAGGAAGGAGAGAGAAGGAAAUUUGGGAGGAAGAGUGGGCACGAACUGGCUGCCCAAUUGUGUGGGUGGGUAGGUGGCAGGGAGGGACUGGUUGUUCUGGGUCUGCCCCUCCGGCCCCACCACACCUGCUUCCAGGUGAGCUUAGGAAUUUCCCAGGCUUCCUCCCAGCUGGAGCCAGACGUGUCCCUCAGAGGCCCCAGCCCUGCCC
rnacentral:lncRNA from 1 species